ensembl:antisense Gm16365 predicted gene 16365
GAACUCACUGCGUACUUUGAUUUCUUGAUGGCUGACUAUGAGUACUGAAAACUCCAACCCGGCAGCGUGUAGUGCUGUGUGCCUCUCCUUAUAGAGUUAAACUCAGCCAGGCCUGCCCGAGAGAAACCCUAAACUGGCGCCACAUUCCUGCUGGAACUCUGUCACAGUCUCAGCUCAAACUGGCCUCCAGAUGGACAAGGUGAAGAGACAGAGGUCAUACCCAUGAGGAAGAGGCUCUUGGCAGACAUGGAAUCUACUGUCACCUUAUUCUUGGAUUCUUAAGCCUCGUAAACACUGAGUGAGUCCAGCUGGACCUGUCAAUCACCUCGCCUGGAGACUACCCCUCAGGAAAACUGAUUCACCUGAAGAUGUUACAGAGAUGGGGGAAAUAAUUAUUCUCUUAAUGAGAUAACAUGUGUGUACCUCCCUGAGAAGUCCCUCCCUCAGUCCAGCUGUUUGCAGAUCUUUCCUACUAAGACAGCCUGCUUUCCCCAGUUCUAACUCCAAAACUGUAACUUCUCCUUUCCCCUUGUCUCAUCUUUGGCUAAAGGCCAAAACCUCCUCCUGCUUCCAACCUCUGUACACUCUCUUUCUUUAACCCCCUCCAAGCCCCAGUUACUUGGCGCCCUUCCUUGCAGAACCUGCCAACUCUCCUGAAACCUACCUCGGAAGGCAUGUCAUGCUCUCCUCUCCAGCUCCCCUUUCCAGGCAGCAGUUGAGGUUUGUAGCUUCCUGACCUUGUGGUUUACUCCUGAGCGCCAAUAAAAGAGUCCACAAGC